CUUGAUUUAAGUGAUUGCAUGAUGCUUCAAUAUUUGCCAGAGCUUCCACCAGGUCUAGCAGAGUUAGAUGCAGAUAACUGCACAUCUGUGGAAUUUGUAUCGAGAUCAUUCAUACAAGGAUAUAUGAAUUCCUGCUUGAGGAUGAAUCUUAGCAAAUGCAUUAAUUUGGAUAAGAGUGUAUGCAGUGAAUUAAUACUGCUGAAACUUCAAAGCAUGGGAC
rnacentral:misc_RNA from 1 species